CAAACCGGCAUAUUCUAAUCGCACGCCGUGCUCGGUUGAGAAACCCCACGCAAAGAAUUCGAAAACCAACCGAAACGCUCGCGAUCUCUCAAUCGCUCCUCCUCCUCCUCCAUCUCCGGCGACCAAUUAUUGCGAUCCCCGACGCCAUUCGAGCAUCACCAACCCUAGAGAGAGUAAUCGAAGAAUCCCUCUUUUUAAAAGGUCGGCGAAUCAUUCCAACGGAUGCGGUAUCUUUUAUCUCGUUCUUUAUCGGAUUCUCGCGGGUCUCGUACGAAUCAGAGUUUUCUGAAACAUGACGCAUGAACCUUCUAAAAGGGUGGAAGAAGAUGCUACUUUGGUAGUAAGUUCAAUACACUCUUAAAUUCUCUUUUCUAGGCUGUAAUUGUAAAAAAAAACUUCUCGUUGCAUGGUUUCCUUAAAGUU